rnacentral:lncRNA from 1 species
CAGGCUGAGACCUGCAAGAGAAAGUGGGGUUGGAGUCACAGCAGGCAGAAGCGUUUCAGAGCAGUGAAAGAUGGCGCAAUUUUUUCCUCCCUUUAGGAGCAAAAGAAGCCCCAAAAGUCAAUCCUGGGCCGCCAUUUCUCAGGACUCCAGCCACAGAGGACAUGCUGGACUUAGCCUUCACCUUUUAAAGACACUGAUGGGACGUGUCUGAAGAGGUCCCCGACCCUCACUUUGAGGGCAAAAGAAAGAAACAGAGCAUCUUUCCCCUGCCUCGCUGCUCUCGGCCAAAAUCUGAGCCAAACUCCUACGAAAAGUGCAAAAAACCCUCCCGUUCUGUGGYGUAGUUUUUCUUUUGUUUUUCGCAGUAAGGGAAUUGCCGCUGUUUCGACUACAGGCAGAUGAACAGCAAGUACGCUGUGCCUUUGAAAGCCCAGACGUCGACCCACACAAGAUAUACAUAGUAGUAACAGCAAGGGUUUACACGUGUCGCAGCAAUGGCAAGAGUCAAGUGGAAGAGCACCAGCAUCCAGUCCGUGGCAGAGGAAACGAGGAACAGGAACGUGYGCUCAAAAUAGGUUUGCUUACAGAAACCAGGCAAGCAGAGCGGCACAGCUGGCUAGCUCAGCCCUUGCUUCCUUUCCCAGGCCUUCCCCGAGCAGGUCCGCGGCAGGGGUGCGGACCCACGGAGACACACGUACGAGCCCAAUUAGCGCGCAGGAGCUUUUCUACACACCCGUGCAAAAUCCUCCCAGAGCAGACAAAUCACACGGCAGGCAGCUGCCUCGAUCUCCGCUCGGCCAGAGGCAGCCCGCUCCGGGCAGCGCGGCUGACGUCGGGGCGCCGCUGGAAGCUGCUUCCAGCUGAGCUGCGUGCCGCCGGGGAGCCCGGCCCCAUCAUCCGCGGAUACGCUGCCCCCGGCCUUUGCGUUAUCAGCAAAAGCCACCUCGGUCUAAUGAUUGAACUUCUUUAA